rnacentral:lncRNA from 1 species
AUUUGGAACAAGAAUGAAUUCUAUUUAACCAAGCCUAAUAAGAAGCAUAACCUCCAAAAGACAUGAUGAAACCGCUUUAUAACUGAAACAAAAUAGUUGUCAAUGAAUUGAAACCAGUUGGAAUAUGGAAAAUCAAUGAACGAUUGAUUCUAGCUCAAAACCGAGCUUUCUAGGCCUAUGCUACACCAAGCAAAAAGGCGGGGGAAGUGGACUAAACAGGAGGCACCGCAUGGAGCGUGCAUAUCAUGCCUUGUGGUGCUUCCACAUUGGCCCACGUACUUCAAAAAAAUGAACUAGCAUAGAGUCGUAGGUGUUGGUUCAAGGGUUAGCCCAUAACCGACACUUCUAUUGUCGGUGGCCAAUUUUGCUCCUGAUCUAGUUUAGGAAAAGAUUCACUAUUUUGUUUUGUUCUCCUUCUCCUUUAGUAGUUCUUUUUCUCCUUAUAGUCAUAAAUGCUAGAUCUAAUUUCCUUUAAGUGAAACUAAGGAAAGGGCCAAGUAUAGACUAUUACUAUGGUUGUAGGUAGCAAACUACCAAUAGAAGGAAUUUUUCCCUUUAGCCUUGGCAAGGAAUAUCCUUAUCCUUGCUCAACUGACUAGGCCUUGCCUUCGUUGUUCUUGUCUGAGUUAGAACCAACCAAACAAUGCCACUAAAUUUCUAAUCCUCAAUUUAAAUAUCAUAAGCAUAUCCCUCUUCAACAUUUUCUGCCCAAGAAUGUGAACCUUUGUUUUCCUAAAAUUUAAUGAUUCCAGUUCCUUUCUUGAUUAGCUCAUCUUUCUAAAGUCAUAAAAAAUCAGACAAUGAACCACAAGAUUUACUAUUUUGUCAUUUUCUCCUUCCCCUUUAGUUCUUUUUCUUCUUGGAGUCAUAAACGCUAGAUCUAAUUUCCUUUAAGUGAAACUAAGGAAAGGGCCAAGUAUAGAUUGUUACUAUAGCAGUAGAUAGCAAACUACCAAUAGAAGGAAUUUUCCCUUUAGCCUUGGAAAGGAAUAUCCUUAUCCUUGCUCAACCAACUAGGCCUCGCUUUUGUUGUUCUUGUCUGAGUUAGAACCAACCAAGCAAUGCCUUAACUUCAAUUGACUCAGACAAAGUUACCUUAAUUUGUUAUGCAAUGAGUUCACAGCACAAAGGAGGUUGAUUUAGGCCAAAAAAGUUAAUGUGGAUACAGAGAAAGCAUAAAGAGAACAGAAGGUUCUAAAGCUAUUUUACUCUGCUGGAAGGAAAUGUCUAGAAUUGGGAGAGUCACAAAUGGAAAGAUGAUGUCUAAUUUUUUUUGGGGAAUUCUCAGUGGAAAGGACACCUGGAGAUGCUAUCAGAUUUGCAGCAGCAGGUGAAGUAAAAGCUCAAAUAGAGAGGCAAAGUAGGGGACAAUAAUUUACUAAAAUUUUCAGCAAUAUUGAUGGGGAAAGAAUUGCUUCUCUUGAUAGAGAGAGUUGUCUCCUUGGGUUGUUUCUUACUCUCAUUUUUUCCUGUUGAUUUUUUUUUUAGGGUAUUUACGUUUUAGAGGCUAAUAAACUUUGUAUUUGCAGAGGUGGUUCUGUAAUUGACUUGAAUUAUCAAUACAUUGAAGCUCCCUAAGAAAAAAGGAAAUACAACAAGAAAAUGAUUAUAAGAAACAAACCACUUGGGAGACAACUCUCCCUAGCAAGAGAAGCAAUUCUUGCCGCAGAAAUACUGCCCAAAAAAAAAAAAAAAAGUUUUGUCUCCUACUUUGUUCAGAUUCUCUCUAUUCAAGUUUUUCCUCCACCUGCUGCAAAUCUGUUAGCAUCUCUAGUGUACUUUCCUUACUUUCACUUAGCAUGUAUUGAUAAAAAUAGGUGAAUAGAGCAUGUUGCUUGUACAAGUGACACAAAAAGAACUAAGAACAAAAUGUGCCCAUACAGAACAAAAUCCUCUUACUGAGUAGAACACUUACUGGAUCCACAUUCUAUCUUAUCCACAGGAGUCUAUGACAAAAAUAAAAAAUAAAAAUAAAAAAAAAUGUGCAGACAAGAGAUCCUUUUCCCAGUGUUUCUCGGACUUGUUUACCAGUUAAAGGAAAAAUGAGCUUCCUCUUUAAAUGAACAUUUUAUAUCCAUAAAAAGUUUCACAAAGUAGAAACAGUUCAUAACUAAACUAGUAUCAAAAUGAGGACAUUUUAAUUACCGAAGCAAAGCAUUAGAUUAAUCUUGAAAAGCAAUACAUAGGAAGAAUCUUGACAUGGAACUAGCACACUUCACACACAUUACCAAGAGGCAUAGCUAGACAUAAGACUCAUUCAAAACUUACACAAUCCUUUACGGGCAUGGUUUGAUGAAUAAAUGCAUAUUCACAAUUUCACAUACACAUACAAAACUGAAAUGCAAAAAUAAAAAUAAAAAAAUUUAACAUGUAAAGAAAUCAGUUAUGCAUUAUAAAGUGCAAAAGUCUAAAGAAAUCCACCGGUGUAUGCUUUUGUCUUGUAAUGCAGUGAUCAUAUUUCUGCUAAGGUAGGUAUAAGAUUAAGAACUCACAGAUAUGGAAACUCUAAAAUCAAGGCGUGAAAUAACAAAUACAUUGCAAUAUCGUUAUAGAUAAGAGAGAGAAUGAAGCUUAUACUCCGAAGAAGAAGAAUCAGAGGAAAAAAUGGGCGAUGGGGGAUGCCUUCCUGGUAAUGGUAUCAGCAACGUCUUUAAAGCAAACAUUUGAAGAUCAGUGGCCAACCCAUUCAACCUUUUGAUGUCAGCCACCUAAUAAAAUUUCAAAAGUUAUUGAUCAGCCCUUAAAAGCAUAAAACAGAAAUAUUUUGGCUGGACCCAUAUAAUUAAAUGAAGUCUAGGCAGAUUUAUCGAGUCUAGAAAGCAUCUCAAAUCAAAUAAAAAAACUACCCAGAUAAAAUUCUAAACAAAAAUUAAGGGGAAAAACAACAUAGAGAUUGAAGAAAAAUGAGAAUACCUCAACACCAUACUUGAUGGCCACACCAGCAAGAGUAUCAAACUUGGAGACCUGAUGCUGUAUGAAAUUCUUAUAAUGAUUAUCAGCUAUUUCUCCUCCUGCAGAUGAACUGCCAUUUGAAGAAGACAUAUCUGCUUCUCUUAUUCAGGCAAAUCAGCUCAAACUGUUUCCUCGUUCUUGAAAUCGUCAACAAAGAGAGGGGGAAUUGGGUCUGAGGUCGACCGGAUCGACAGAUAAGGAGAUUUCAAACAAAGGAAGCACGACUGAGAUCAUGGAAAUUAAGAAACAAUUAUAUAAAUUUUUUAGUAGAUAGAAAAGAAAUUAGAAUAAUAUGAGGAAUCAAAAUCCAAUCAUCAGAUUCUUCUUUCCAUUUCACAUUAGCAAAGAAGAGUCCACAGAUUGUCAAAAGUUAGGUUUUCUCCAAUUUCAAUAACCGGAAGUGAUCCGAGCGACCGACAGAAUACCGGAUAUAUGUAAUGGGUAAAUAACUAUAAAUAAAAAAUUGACAAAAUUAAUUAUCAAAUAAAAAUUCUGGCAAAAAAAUGAAAAUAAAAAUUACUCCAUAAUAUUUCUAUAUUUUGCAAUGUCGUUUUUUUUCAAAACAAAACGUUUCUAUACUAAUUUUUAAAAAAUAUUAAAUAUUUUAAAAAUAAAUAAAUAUAUAUUAAAAAAAUUAUUUUUUUAUAAACUUUUAACUGAUCAUAAUAAAAAAAGCUAAUAAUUAUUUUAAAUAGAUAACUAUUAAAACAAAGGGCUAAUAUCACUUAACUAAUUUACUUUAACAAAAAUUUUAACCAUAAAAAUAAUCCAAUCAGCACUAUUUAAUUCAAAUCGAAAAAAUUUAUCAAACUGAAUUAAUUUAAAAUUUUAAUUUAAUUUUUUAUUUAUUUUAAUUUAAUUUAAUUUUUAAUUUUAAAAAUUUCAUUUUUUUUGUUUGAUUUAAUUUUAAUGAAAAAUUUUAAAAAAAUUAAAUUGAAUCAAUUAGUCAUAAUAAUAUGUUAUUUUCAAUAAUAUUGAAAAAUUUAAUUAUAUUAAAAUUAAAAUAUUUUAAUUAAAUUUUAAAAUUAAAAAUAAAAUAUAAAAAAUAAAAAAAUUUAUUAAAAAUUGAAAUUGAUCAAAUCAAACCGAAUCGCCAUUUUAAUUUUCAGUUUAUUCAAUUUUGAACCAAACCAGCCGAAUGAAAAACGUAAUAAUUUUUCUAUAUAUAUUUAAUUUUUAUGAAAUUAUUCUAUAAUUAUUUUUAAAAUAAUAUUUCCAUAAAAUACAGUUAUUUAAUAAUUAAAAUAAUAAUUUUAAAAAAAUAUUUUUAUAAUAUUUAUUAAAUAUUAUAUAAAUAAUUAUUUAUUAUUACAACAGUUAACUGUUAUUAUAAUUAUUAGUAUCGUCGUAUAAAAUUUAUAUUUUUAUAUUUAUUAUUUUUAUAUUAUUUUUUUAAUGCUAAUUAUUAUAGAUAAAUACCGGCUAAUUAUUAAAUAUAAUAAUAAUUAUCUUUCUAUUAAAUAUAAUAAUAAUUAUUACUUUAAGAUUCAUAAAUCAUCUCUUUUAUUAAUUUACUUUUAUUUUAUUUAAUUCACCGUUAAUAAAUAUUUUAUAAAAUUUAUUUAUUAGUAGAUAUAUAUAAUCAAAAUUAAAUUUCUUUAUUAGAAACUUAAAUUAACAUAAUUCUAAAUUUUUAAAUUGUUUUUUAUUUAAUUCACCUUCAAAUUAAAUUAUUAACAGUUUAUUUAAUAAUAUAUAAAAUUAAAAUUAAACUCCUUUAAUAAAGCGUAUAAAGCUUUAUUUAUUUAUUAUUAAUUAAUUAAUUAGUGAUAAUUACAAUUAAUUUUUAUAGAUAUACCCGUAAGUAAUAAACUUAAAUUUCCAAAAUUAUAAUUAAUAUUUUGUAAAGAUUUUAUGUGUCUAUUAAAUUAUCAAAAAUCAAUACUGCUUGGAAUUUUCUUUUUUAAACACAAAGAUGAAAUAUGAAAGAUUAUCAUAUCUUCAGAUUUCAAUUGACACCAAUUUGGAUAAAAAAAACUGGCACUUAACAAUUUAUAAACUAUUAUAAUUAUGGUAUCACACCCUUUGUGGAAAACAAAAAAUAUUUUUUCAUUAUUUCUUCGACAAAAAUGAAGGUUGAUGUUACAUAAUAAUUGCUCAAAAUAAGUUAUGAAUUGUUAUUUCAAAACAGAUUUACAUGAUAAGGAUCUAAUAAGUGGGUAACGUGAUUCCGUUCGAGAAAAAGAAGAUCUGGACAAUUUAAAAUCUGAUUCAUCACUAAAACUCGCCCUCUCUUGAUGAGUCGAGUCGAGUCGAGUCUCGAUUAGGGAUGUAAACGAAUCAAACUAUUCGUGAGCUAUUCGAGACUCGGCUUAAUAAAAGCUCGAUCAGACUCUGCUCGUUUUUUAAACGAACCGAGUUCGAGCUCACUUUUUAGUCUCGUUUAAUAAACGAGCCGAGCUUGAGCUUAGCAGUAUUUGGUUCAUUUAGACUCGCAAGCUGACUCGUGAACAGGCUUGUGAACAAGCACGUAAGCAGGCUAGCGAACAAACUUGUUUACUAACACUAAUCCCAUAUCGAAAGUUGAAGGAAUAUGAAAAAUCGUGACUUCUCUAUAAAAGAACAACCCUUCUACAUUCUUUUUCAUUAAUUUUGGGUUCGAGAGACUUCAAUUAAAUAAAAAAAAUUUAAUUUAGAAGUCUCUUAAUAAUCUUAUAAUUUAAAUUUGUUUAUAAUUUAAAUAAAUUUGAAUUAUACUGAGUUUGUUUAUAAUAUAAUCGAGCUCAAAUUCGAGUCUAGAUGAGCUCAAAUUUGAGUUUUUUGAAUGGAAUUUGAGUUGGCUCGUUAAUGUGAUAAACGAGCUUAUUACGAAUCGAGCUCGAACCGAACUUGAGUUUAAUAUUUAUUUUAUGAGUCGAGCUCGAGCUUAUAAAUAAAGCUCGAGUCGAGCUCGAGCGCGAACUCGAGCUUUUAAAUUUAUUUUCUAAUCAAGCCUGAGCUUAUCAAAGUUCGGCUCUGCUCGGUUCAAUUACAGUUCUAGUCUCGGUACAAAGUUACCAUUAAACAGGGACAGUUCAGCUAUCCACAUAAUACCUGCAAUCGCAAAAUCACCAAUCUAUUAGCUGGCAAUAUCCCUUAUCAUGCAGCUGACAAUAUCCCUUAUCACUAAUCUAUUAGCUAGCAAUAUCCCUUAUCAAGCAGCUGUUGAUAAUAUCCUUUAUCAAGCAGCUGGCUACAUCAUUGCCGAAUUAUCGAGAAAUACUAUAUUUAUUUCCACCUUCUUGUAGUAUAAAAGGAGAAAAAUCGAGGCAAAGGUACAUUAUUCUCUUACAUUAAGACUCAAGCAAUUCAUCAUAUUCACUCUCUUACUGAUUUGAGCAUCGGAGUGACUAUCGUGGGCACCCAUCACCACCUCAUGUCCUCUUCUUUGCAGGUCUAGUCAAUCACAAUACAACUAUGUUUUCUAAUUACAUCAUUUGGUUCCCUUAUCGAAAAAUCAAUCGAACCUUCUCUUUCCAUUUAGAUUACGUUCAUCUCCUACACUUUCCCUCGUAUAAAGAAAUCUCUCUCUUUUCUCUCUCAAAAUGGCUGGUAGUUCAUAAGCUGUUGCUAAUAUUGCUACCAAUGAGGGUAUCAUCAUUUUUUCCACCCCUAAUAGCGGAUAAAACAUGUCUUCAAUGGUCAAUGAAGCAGAUAUCAAUAACUUGACCAAAAAGCAAAUGCUCCAACACAUUCAGAAAUCACAAGCUACUCUUGAAGAGUACAAGGCUUAGAGGGAAGCAUCAGACUCUUACUAUAUACAUUAUAACAAAUUUUUUUUUGUUAUAAUUUUUCAUAAUAAAAUAUUUUUUUUCAACAAAUAAUUUUAGUUUGGCAGAAAAUAUAACAUCAAAUAUAUAAUAUUGAUGACCGUGAGAUUUCUUCGUCCGAAUCAGAGACGAGGCCCACGAUAUCGGCCCAUUACUCAGACAUCUUCGAGCCCUUAGUAUGAAUAAGGUCUGGUUCAUUCAAAUGGUAAGGCUGGGCUCCCUCCUGACACGCCUCAACCGGGAUGGCCCAUUCUCCAGUUCCGUAAGGGAGCCCCUCUUCAGCCCAAUCUUGUUCCCUUCACCCGGCCCAGCCUGGCCGACCCAACCAGGAACCCAGAGUAAGACCCAUCCGUGUCCAGGGAGAGUCAGAGGCCGUUACGCAUGGGGCAGAGAUUUGAUUUCCACGUACGUCCGAGUCAGCGUGGCAGGGACAGAUGGUCUACUGGUACUCGUUCUUUUGGCACGUCACUGGCAGACAAAAAGAAACCUAUAAAAGGAGGAAUACUCUCUUCUAGGUUUAAGUUGGGAAGUUUUGCAGAGCCCAUUGUAAAAAAAAUCCUAUUUCUCUGGAUCUCAGAUCAUCAAUCAAUUGAUGACCACGAGAUUUCUUCGUCCAAAUCAGAGACGAGGCCCACGAUAUCGGCCCAUUACUCAGACAUCUUCGAGCCCUUAGUAUGAAUAAGGUCUGGUUCAUUCAAAUGGUAAGGCCGGGCUCCCUCCUGACGCACCUCAACCGAGAUGGCCCAUUCUCCAGUUCCGUAGGGGAGCCCCUCUUCAGCCCAAUCUUGUUCCCUUCACCCGGCCCAGCCUGGCCGGCCUAACCAGGAACCCAGAGUAAGACCCAUCCGUUCAUCUUGCAGACCCGUCCAUCCGUGUCCAGGGAGAAUCAGAGGCCAUUACGCAUGGGGCAGAGAUUUGAUUCCCACAUACGUCCGAAUUAGCGUGGCAGGGACAAAUGGUCUACUGGUACUCGUUCUUUUGGCACGUCACUGGCAGACAAAAAGAAACCUAUAAAAGGAGGAAUACUCUCUUCUAGGUUUAAGUUGGGAAGUUUUACAGAGCCCAUUGUAAAAAAAACCCUAUUUCUCUGGAUCUCAGAUCAUCAAUUGGCACCGUCUGUGGGAAACGAGGCUGAUCUUCAUCACCGGAGUUUCCAUUCUUGCAAAACCCACUGAGAUCCACAAUGGCUAACCCCAUUGAAAACAAUAGCACCCACAACGACCUGAACUCUGCCCAAGAAGGACAGCAGUUCUCUUUUUCUAGUCCUAUGACUACCAAUAACCAACCACCCAUUUCUUUCAACCCUUCGCCAAGCUUGACAGGGAACGCGCCCAUAGUGGCCUUAUCCAACCAGGACCUCCAAACUAUCGCAUUCCAGCUACAAAGCACCACCCACUGGUUGGGGCAGAUAAUGCAGCAAAGGGGCCUUAGCACCCCAGUGAACGCACAUCCGGUGGUAGAAGAACCCCGUUCAAAUGAGCCCUGACCAACCCAUAACCACCUUCAAACCGACAGCCGUGAUAUUGGAGAAAGAGAGAGGAGAAUCGGGGGAGACGAAGAACCGGAGGCUCGAGUUCAUGGGAGAAGGGUGAGGGAGAUGAUAGAAAAUGAUGAGGCCGACAGCUAUUCUGCCGGAACCACCAGGGAAACAGGAGGUGAAGCAGAGGGGGAGGAAUAUUGCCUAGAAAAGAGACCCAGGCAAGAGGAUGAUAGCGUAGACCAAAAGCUGCAAAGGCUGAAAAAGCAGCUUCUGAUCGAGCUGAGAACGAAGGAAUAGAACCAAACUCUCCUGCCUGCUUUUUCUCCUUUCUCGAAAUGGGUGCAAUAGGAGACCGUACCUAAGAAGUUUAUGAUGCCACCUAUGGCUGCCUACGAUGGAACUGGGAACCCCCGAGAACAUGUCCUUAACUACAAGACCUUCAUGAAGCUACAGACUUUGUCGGAUGCUUUAAUGUGCAAGGUAUUCCCAACGACGUUAUCAGGCCCAGCAAGAGCAUGGUUUAAUAACCUGGAGGCUGGGAGCAUCAACAGUUUCGGAGACUUGGCCACUCGUUUCAUCAGCCGCUUCAUUUCUGGUGUUCCCGCCGAUAGGAAAACGAGCUACUUGGAAACAAUCAGGCAAAGGAGGGAGGAGUCGCUCAGGGAAUAUGUCGCCUGUUUCAAUACAGAAGCCCUCCAGAUCCCCGAACUCAACGAAGGAAGGGCAAUAGAGGCCAUGCAGAAGGGGACAACCUCCGUCGAGUUCUUUGGCUCGUUAAGCAGGAAGCCUCCGACCUCACUGGCUGAGUUGAUGAAGCGGGCCGAAAAGUAUAUAAGGCAGGACGAUGCCUUGGUAACAAGCAGGUUUGCUAGGGGACUGACAGAUAAAAGAAAAGCACUGGAGGAAAAGAGGCUAGAGAAACACGAGAGAAAGCACGGUGGAAGGCCUGAGCCCUAUAAACAGCCUUGGGAGCGUAGGGAUCAAAGACCCCUCCCUUCUCAGGACCCCGUACAAAGAUCACGGCCCUCCUGGGUCCCGGAGAAGCCAACCCCACUCAACGCCUCAAGAGCCGAGGUACUCAUAGCCGUACAAGAUAAGGAAUUCUUACAGUGGCCCAGGCCCCUAAGAGCUGAAGCAGACCAACGAAAUCCUGACAAGUACUGUCAGUACCAUCGCACGCAUGGCCAUGAUACCAAUAACUAUUUUCAGUUGAUCGCCGAGAUCGAGAGGUUAAUCAAGAGGGGUCACCUUAAGAACUUCGUAAAGAAGCCGGAAGGACAGAGGCCUCCGCCGACUCCGACAGUCUAAACGCCACGAAGAAUGGGAGCUAACCCCGCAAAUGAUGGGUCCAGCGGAACCAUCCAUAUGAUUGUAGGAGGCACGGGGGGAUGAGCCGAAGGGGGAAAAAGAGGAGCAGAGAAGAAGGAAACAGUAGCGCCGAGGUCAUGCAAGUCGUUGAACACUCCUCAGCAACCAUCUCUUUCUCCUCGGAAGACGCUCAGGGCAUUCAGAUGCCCCAUGAUGAUGCCCUCGUCAUCGAGGCCAUCAUCCACAAUUAUAAAGUAAAGAAGGUUCUAGUGGACGAUGGGAGCAAAGUGAAUCUGCUGCCUUACCGAGUCUACCAGCAGAUGGGUAUUCCUGAAGAGCAAUUAAUCCGAGACCAGGCCCCGAUUAAAGGGAUAGGAGGAACGCCAGUGACGGUGGAAGGAAAGGUAAAGCUAGCCCUUACUAUGGGAGAAGCUCCAAAGACUCGCACCCAUUAUGCAGUGUUUCUGGUAGCUAAACUCCCCCUGAGCUACAAUGCGAUCCUAGGAAGACCUGUGUUGUUUGACUUUGAGGUUGUCACCAGUAUCAGAUACUUGGCAAUGAAGUUCCCCACAGAAGCAGGGGUGGGAACAGUUCGGGGAAGUCAAGAGGAAGUAAGGGCAGUGUACCUGGCUACCGUAGCGGAGCCAAGCUCAACAGAGGAAAGGAUGGAUUCGGAAGUCCUGGAGGUCCGAGAUGAGAAAACAGAGGCCAGACAGAGCCGGUGGGGGAGCUGAAACCUUCUCCUUGUCAGAAACGGAAAUAGACAAAGACUUCAGUCUCAACGCCGGCCUCACCAAGGAGCAGAAAGCCGAGGUGAUGUCCUUGAUUCAAGGUCAUGCAUCAAGCUUCGCUUGGAAGCCCUCGGACAUGCCCGGAAUUGACCCCAGGGUGAUGACCCAUAGAUUGAACGUCCUCCCUGAAGCCAGACCGGUAAAGCAGAAAAAAAGGGUAGUAGGAAGGGAGAAGCAGCAGGCUACCAAGGAGGAAGUACAUAAGUUAGAGGAGGCAGGCUUUAUUAGAGAAGUUAUGUACCCACAAUGGUUAGCCAAUCCUGUAUUAGUCAAAAAAGCCAAUGGCAAAUAUAGGAUGUGCAUAGACUUUACUGAUCUGAAUAAGGCCUGCCCUAAAGAUUGUUAUUCCCUCCCUGAUAUUAAUAAAAUGGUCGACUCUACGACCGAUUUUGAUUACAUGUCGUCUUUGGAUGCAAUGUCUGGUUAUCAUCAAAUCCCAAUGUACAGGUCGGAUGAAGAGAAGACCUCAUUCAUAACCGAAGAUGGGACUUACUGUUACAGAGCUAUGCCUUUCGGGCUGAAAAACGCCGGGGCAACCUACCAAAGACUGAUGAAUAAAAUCUUCAAGAAUCAAAUUGGCAGAAACGUCGAAGUGUAUGUAGAUGAUAUGGUGGUAAAAAGCCUAACUUUCCAACAGCAUAUGGCAGAUUUGAAGGAGGUAUUUGGGGUAUUAGAUCAGUACAGAAUGAAGCUGAAUCCCGCAAAGUGCGCUUUCUUCAUCAGAGGAGGAAAAUUCCUGGGAUACAUGGUGAGUGGGAAAGGCAUCGAGCCCAACCCGGAAAAAGUAGAAGCCAUACUGAAUAUGUCAGAACCAACCUGUGUAAGGGACGUCCAGAAAUUGACCGGGAGAGUAGUGGCACUCAAUUGAUUCAUGUCACGGUCGGCAGAAAAGUGUCUACCAUUCUUCAGAAAGUUAAGGAAAGUGCCAAACUUCGAAUGGACAGAAGAUUGUCGUGAAGCCUUCAAAGAACUCAAAAGUUAUCUCAGCUUGCCUCAUGUGCUCAGUAGUCCCGUAGAAGGUGAAGAACUUCUGAUAUACCUGGCAGCCUCUGAACAGGCAGUUAGCGCCGUACUGGUAAGGGUGGAAGAAGGAUAGUAGAAGCCUGUUUUCUAUGUCAGCAAGGUGCUUAAAGAUGCCGAGGUCAGAUAUCUGAAUAUUGAAAAGAUAGCGUAUGCUCUACUGCUGGCAGUCCGAAAGUUCAGGGUUUACCUGGAAAGCCACCAAGGAGUUGUCAUGACAGAUCAACCCCUGAAGAAGAUCUUACAUAGACCGGAGACUUCAGGUCGGAUGUUAGCUUGGUCUGUGGAGAUCGGUCCUUACUGCCUAGAGUAUCGACCUCGGACAGCUAUAAAGUCUCAGGCCCUCGCUGAUUUCAUAGCGGAGUGCACAUUCGAUGAGAAACAAGGAGAAUCAUCCUCAGGAGCGUCGAGGGAGGAAAGAAAAGAAGAACUCUCUCAGAACUUCAGUUGGAAGUUAUAUGUAGAUGGGGCUUCAGGCGCUGGAGGCAGCGGCACUGGAGUAAUGCUUAAGGGGCCCGGGGAAUUCAAGGUUUGCUACGCCCUACGUUUGGGAUUCAAAGCUUCCAAUAAUGUAGCAGAGUAUGAAGCCCUAAUAAACGGAAUGCUGGUCGCAAUAGAAGUGGGGGCAACUGACCUCGAGGUGAAUAGUGACUCACAACUAGUAAUCAAUCAAGUAACUGGGACAUAUCAGGCCUGUAACAGCCCGGAAACCGAACUGCCACCGGCACUAGGAUCCAGAUCGACUUAAGGUCGCCGGGACCCGUAGUAAGCCUGCAAUACUGUCUGAAUACCUGUAAAAUCCCAUACAUGAUCACACAUUUUCUGUCAAAAGUUUUUCUCCAGGGCUUAACCUGUGCAUGCACUAUUUCUGAUCUCUCCACUCAUAGUGUGAAGCCUGGUUUUCUCAUAAACAUUAAUAAUAAAAGAAACCAUACAUAAACUGAUCAUGUGUCUACAACAAGGGAUUACAAUCAAGCACUGUACAUAUACACUAACGUGAGAAGGUUUUGGCUCACCUCUGGCUGCAAGUGGAGGAGAAAUAUCCUCCUUCCACCGACCUUUGGCCCUUAAAUAGGUGGCUGGCCAGACUACCUUCGGCAGCCGAACGUGAAGCCGAAACCAUGCAAUGUUCGGCGGCCGAAAGUGACCUUCGGCGGCCGAACCUUUGCAUUUUCCCUUAUUGCUUUUCCUUUUCUUUCAAAACUCAUUUCCUUUACAACUUUAAAACAUUCAAAACUCCUAAAACACAUGAAAACAUAUGUCUUACCCUUCUCGAGGGUUUCGACACUCGCGAUUCCACCGAACUACAGGAAUUCCGAGGCCGGACUCGAGCCGGGUAUUACAAGGCCAGAGACCCAACCAUGCAGAAUUACCUAGCAAAGGUGAAAGCAAUAGAGGUAGAGCUCAGGGAUCGAGGAGUUAUUGUCAAAUUUCAAAGAAUACCACGAGAGGAAAAUGAAGAAGCAGACUUGCUUAGUCGGUUAACCAAAGAAGAAUUAGAACAGCUCCCUGAUGAGGUAUACAUACAACACGUCAAUACGCCUGCUUUUAGUAAAACAAACAUGGUAUUGCAAGUGGAACAAACCCAGACUUGGAUGACCCCAUACCUGGAAUAUUUAGAGAAAGGAAAGCUCCCCGAAAGCAAGGAUGAAGCAAGAAAGAUAGCAGCCCGAGCGGCUAAUUACCAGGCGGUAAGGGGGACCCUAUACCGAAGAGGAAAAUCCAGCCCGUGGCUCUGGUGCGUGAGCCCGGAAGAGGCAAUAAAGGUGAUGGAGGAAAUACAUAGAGGGACGUGUGGAGUUCAUGAAGGAGCGGGAACAUUGGCCAAUAAGAUAUUCAGGCAAGGAUAUUACUGGCCCACUGUAAAAAAAGAAGCAAAAGAGUUCGUCAGCAGGUGCGAUGUAUGUCAGAGGUUCGCCAAUGCCAUCAACGUCCCGGCCGUUCCUCAGUCCAGCAUAUCCAGUCCAUGGCCGUUCUCACAAUGGGGAAUAGAUAUCCUGGGACCUUUUCCCAAAACCACGGGGCAGAAAAAGUUCGUGGUGGUGGCUGUGGAAUACUUCUCAAAAUGGCCGGAGGCAGCGGCAGUAUCCACGAUCACAGCUCGGCAGAUGAUAGAUUUCGUAUGGGGGCAUAUUAUCUGCAGAUUUGGCAUACCAAGGGUGCUUAUCUCAGAUAAUGGCAGGCAGUUUGAUUGCAGCACUUUUCGAGCGUUUACGACAAACAUGGGAAUAUGGCAUAAGUUUUCCUCAGUGGCUCAUCCUCAAACCAAUGGCCAGACAGAGGUCACCAACCGAGCUAUUCUCCAAGGAUUAAAAAAACUACUGGAUGGGGCAAAAGAAAAUUGGGCAGAAGAGCUCAACAACAUCCUGUGGGCACUGCGAACUACCCCCAGAAUGUCCACUAAGGAAACACCUUUUGCACUCGCCUUCGGCACUGAGGCUGUAGUUCCAGUCGAGCUAUAAGUUCCCACACAUCGAGUCCAGUUCAGCAGUGAAAGCACCAACGAAGACAAGUUAAGAAGCAAUCUGGAUGCUCUUGAGGAAAUCAGGGAGGAAGCUCAAGUUCGAACUGCUGCGUAUCAGCAAAGAGCUGCCCGUUACUAUAAUCAAAGAGUCAGAGAAAGAAGCUUGAAGGUAGGAGAUUUGGCCCUAAGAAAUCUGGAGGCUACGGGAAAAAGAGCGGCGAUGGGAUAGCUAGCACCGACUUGGGAAGGCCCAUUCAGAAUAGCUAAAGUGGUCAAGCCAGGAGUAUAUCGAAUUGAGGAUAUGCAAGGAAACCUUGAACCUCACGCCUGGAAUAUUCAGCAUCUUAAAAGGUAUUUUCCUUAAAAUGUUAUUAAAUACAAAAGAUAGAUUGUAUUUCAAAACAAAGCAAUAAGAUAGACACUGUUAUGAUCCAAUCUCUUUCUUUCACUAUAAAUUCACAUUGCUACUUUCAAACUUAAAAGAACAAUUAAAAGACCGGGAUCCCCAAUAUCUCCCGGGAAAACAAAGAAGACCGGGAUCCCCAAGAUCUCUCAGGAAAACAAAGAAGACCGGGAUCCCCAAGAUCUCCCGGAAAAACAAAGAAGACCGGGAUCCCCAAGAUCUCCCGGAAAAACAAAGAAGACCGGGAUUCCCAAGAUCUCCCGGAAAAACAAACAAGACCGGGAUCCCCAAGCCCUCCUGGGAAAACAAAGAAAACUGGGAUCCCCUAGAACUCCCAGAAAAAUGAAAACGGUCGACGAAGGUUUUAAUAACCUCCCGGAGUGAAAAUUUCCAAUAUCAUGCGCCAGAACAACUCAUAACAUACAGUUCCAAUCACAUGAGAAAGCUGAGUCUUAAGCUAUCGACCUCCUAAAAAAGCGCGGAGCACAAUCACCAAGGGUGCCACAGCAUCACAUCGACGCCAAAAAAAAAAAGAAGAAAAAAAAGAAAAAUGAAAAAGAUGAGCUCGGAAGGGCGAAAAAGUUCAGCCGAGGAACAUCAUAUGUGGCACCGACCUCGAGAAGUCCAAACAGCAAAGAGCCCGGAAAACAUUCAGGGGCAUAAGAAGCAUCAUGGGCUAUCGGCAUAAAACCUAAGCAAAGAACCAAGGACCGAGUCCCCAGCUCAGAUAAAAUUGCCAUAUGAAACACUCGGACAGAAGGAAGUUAAACUAUGGAGGGAACAACAGAAAACAGAGCUCGAACCAGUUUGCCACAAACGAACAUUUAGCAAAAAUAACCUAAGACGAGGGAAAACAACAAAGGCCGAACUCCCCCUCCUAGUGGAGCAUACAGACUAAGUUGCACCGACUGACAAAGAACCACCCUGAGUGGGACCGAACAUCCGAGCUCACAUAUGAAAUAGCGGAGUCAAAUCGCCUAAACCAAAACUGUGCAAGUAUAAAUGAAAUAUAGAGAUUUACUCCCUCAAUCUUUAUGUAAUAAACAUUGAGGCAGUAAAGGGGGCAACCCGAGGAACAUUUAACGGCAUGAACAGAUAAAACCUCAGCUCCAAUUGAUGCCAAAACAAGGCUAAAGGCAGAAAGAUCAACCUUGUCCAUCAUUACGACAGAGCUCACGAGUACGACUAGUCCAGCUCGGAAAAAAGUAAGUCAAAAGCUCAGUUAACUGAAUGAACUCUAGCUCUGAAAAAUUAAGGGGCAAGAAGGAGAAAGCAAUACAGCAGAUCCUUCGGGAAAAGUUACGGAGCAAGCAAUCUAAGUACUUCAUUUAUGAUAAAGAAAGGACAGUUCGAGUAUGAAUGCAAAAUAAAAAUUUCAUUAAAAGAAAAACACAUUACAGCAUGUCACAAAUACCAACACUACGGGAUAAAAGGCUAUCCUUAAAGGAUUUACAUGCCCAGAUACAUCAUCAUCUACAUUUACAUCACUAUUGCCUACCCUACUAUCUUAGCUCUCGAUUCAGAGGAAAUCUUAUAGUUCGGAAAAUCAACUUCGUAAGCCGGCUGAGCUCCGUCUUGAGGUGUGAUUCACGAUACAUACAAACGAGCUCAGAUAUUAUAUGUCGAUCUCAUGAAAAACAUAAGUCUUCGAGUUAAAGUCCCAGGGAGAUCAGCAUCAUUACCCGUUCACCUGCCCGAAGCGCCAACAAAAAACCAGCAAGGUAUUCUGAAGGGCAAUGGAACAAGCGAAGGCAACACCAAAAAAUGGGUGAAAUAUUCUGAAGAGCAAUGGAACAAGUGAAUGUUAGCACCACGAAAGUCUUCUCCUCCUUUCCGAAGGAAGCAAGGGGAGGGGGCCGGCCUGACGAUCUGCAUAAUACAACUUCAACCUCUUGUGGAACACCGAAGGGACACCUUGAAGACAUGAAAGCCUCGCUUAGGUAAACAGUACGAAAAGAAGACAUGGGGAAGACGAAACCAGAGGUCCUCAAUUGAAAAGCCAAUCUGAAUCACUAAAGAACUCUAGGAGGUAAGGGAAGGAUACCAGCGUAUAUAUCCCAAAAGCAAAGCUGUAAUUCUGAGCAGGGUGAUGCUAGGCACUAGGCCAGCGGCAGUAGAAUUCUUAAAAGCUAUUCACGAAAAGAGAAAGACUGCACAUCCCGUAGGAAAAAGAUGAGAAAAUAGAGGUAACAAUGUACACGAAGAACAAGAGAAAGCUAAAGAUAGAAAGGAGUAGAGAAAAUUCGUAAAGUGAGGCGACAAUAAGAUAAAAAGAAUUUAUGGGGAAAGCUGAACGUGAACAGACGCGGUCAUAAUGAUUCUGGAAACCUGCAUAGUCAGAUAAUAAUUAACAGGAAGGUAGAGGGGCAAUCGACGAUGACCGCUGGGUUCCCUCGCCUCGAACAGGGCCCUGGCCCAUGACGCCUGGCCAUUACUUAGAAACCUUUAAGCAUCCUGCAUCACCAAGGCCCAGCCCAUUCACAUCGUCAAGGACGUGUCAGCAUAUUCUAAACUUGAAGUGUUGACCUGAGGAGUAUAGAGACUUCAAGGGUUUACCCCCUCGCCCCUCCUGAAACAACUGCCGAAAAGGCAGUGGGACCUGAGAGACAGUAACAACUCCUAAGUAGUGACAAACUGUCCUCGCUUGUGGAUUAAACUCAUAAACGAGCUCGGAAGGUCUGACAAAUAAAUAUAAAGAUACAGAGCCUCAUGAAGCUGAAGGAAAAUCCCAUGACUCGGCCAGACAAGGUCCCAACCUCGGUCCAUAGUAGAACGGAGUUCAGAGCAGAAAGUCAGCCUUGCUUAUUCCCCUAAGAGGUACAUGAUCAGAUUUACUGUCAUGAGGAAGUCACAAAUAAAACCAUAAAGGCCUGUGGAAAAUUCAACCCGCCAUUGAAAACCGAACUCACGGAUAAGGCUAGUUUAGCUCGGAAAAGGCCUGCAGGGAGAAUGUCCCAGGAGGAGAAGAAAAUCAUAAAUAAAGGAAUAACAAGUAAAAUAACACAAAGCAUCCAUACACUUGGAAAACUAAAAUAUCAUUAAAGGGCAAAACAAUUACAGUCUAUUUCUACUCUUCGAAAGGAAAGAUUGUCCUCAAAGGACUCACAUGCUUAGGGGCAUCACCCUCAGUUACAUUAGUAUCUAUAUUAUCCCUCACUCUAUUUACACUAUAUGCGAUUACACUGUCUACAUUGCUACCCGAGGGAGGUCCGCCCUCCUCCCGCUUAGACUCCCCGGCAUUUACAAAAGGAACGAUCUCCAGCCCUGGAGGUCCAGCACCUCCCCCUCCUAGUCCUAUACCUUCUAUCUGAGGCUCGGCGACGCCUACCUCAGGGUUGAGGACUCCCACAUCCUCUGUAUUCAGCUCGGAUCCUGCCUCAGAAGGCCCAACUUUAGUAAGAGAAGUCCCUUUGGGCAGAGGCAUAUCAUCCUCCCCGUAAGCCACGAUCUCACCAUCGGAAUCCUCUUCCUUAGCUCGGAGUACGGUCAGGGGGACAGAUGGAUUAUGCCUGGCCUCUCUUAAACCUCGGUUGAAGCCGAAGACGAACAUGCGGAGACCCUUAUACCAUAUGGCCUCUUUCAUCUCAUCCGAAGCUUUAUACUCUGCAAGUCGCUUCUCACAGGCCUCAGCUAUCUCAGUUCUUAACUCAGAAGAAUCCUUGUAAUUUUGGAGGUAAGCUUCACAGGCCUGUUGGGUCUCUUUCUUCAAUUCAGGGGACUCCUUAUACUCCUUCAAGUGCUUUUCAAUCUCCAACCGGACCUUAUCCUCGGCUAAUUUGGCCUCUUCAGACAGGGCUGAGCACCUCGUCUCUAGGUCCGUGACUCGUUGGCACAGUUGCUGAUUUUGAAGUUUAAACUCUUCUGCCGCCGAAGUUAGACCCUUGAUGCUAUCAGCUUGCCCACUCAGCUCUUGCCUUAAAAUUACGACGCGGGCUAAGGCCUCGUCCUUUAAAGCCAAGGUGGAGUCCAAUUUUACCUUCAGCUGCUCUAGCUGACGCUGAAUCUCCUCCUUCUGGCUUAUAGCCUCAUCCCUCUCGCGAAGGCCCUCUGCUGCAGAAGACAGCUGCUUCAAAACCCCCUCGCAACAAGCCUCAACUGCAGCUGCCCUCUCAUUAGAUUCCUUAAGAAGUCUUCGGGUGUUAAACAACUCUGUCUCCAUGGACUUGGCAUACUCCUCUGCAUCGGCUACCUUCCCGUCGGCCCUCUUUAAGGCCUCAUAAGCGGCAUACAGUUCCGUCUGGAGAGACGUCGUAUGCUCUCGGGCUGCCGCGAGGUUGUCUCGGGCAUCAACGGUUGCAGAUAGGUUCUGAUCUCGACGAGCUUCCUCAAUCCUACGGUCGACAGACUCUCGUAGAGAGAGGUCACGAGCAUCUGCCUCCAUGGAAAGGCCCAGUGCCUAAUGCGAAAAGGAAAUGUCCAUAAGGAUAAAGAAAUUAAAAGAAUCAAAGUGAGAGCAAAAGGGGCAAUUUACCAUCAUGAGCUCUCUGAUCUUCUCUCCGAGCUCCUCUCGUGGUAAGGAACGGAAGGUUGCUUGCUCCCGUGUAAAGCCCGCCAAAUGGCCAGUCAAGGCCAGUAGACGAGAGUCUGAAGCAUCUGUGGUUCCUCCGAACAUUCGCUCCCGCAAAAUCUCUGCCACAACACCUGCCGGAGACUGAUGCGUGAUGUCUUCUGCAUUUAAUAUAUCAUUAUCCGGGGCAGAUAGCAGAGGCACCAUGGAAGUCUUCGUUUUCUCCAAAGGAGGCAAGGGAGGGGCAGGACGCCCAGAGGUUCGGGCUUUCUUUAAAGAGGGAGUCGGGCCGAAUUCUUCGGCAGGAAAAGGACGCUUGCUCCCGACCCCUUCGGCCACGCCUUGAGGAACAACUGUCGACCCCUGUAGAGGAGCUACCUCCGUAGGCCCAGUUACAGCCUCCUUUGUUGAGACGACCUCGGAAGGAAUUUUUUGGGCAUCCUGUCCUUUCAAACUCGCCUCAUUUUUGUCCUCAGGGCCCACCUCAUCAAUGGGAACAGUUUCCAAAAGCUCCACGGAAACCUCGGCAGAAGAAUGAAGAUCAUCCAUCCUCACGAGUCCGAGACCCUCAGCCAAUUUGGCAGCAACCUUCGGAUCCCUCACAGUUUGUGUAUUGUCAUUUCGUCGAGGCCUGGAGGCUUGAAAAGGGAGAGGAGCCGAGCUCCCUCGGCCGCUUCGGGAGGGCUUGGAAGGUCUAGUACCCUUGGAGGUCAACCUGGGAGGUCGGCUCAUUGUGGUAGAAGCAAUGACCCGAGCUACUUCCUCGGUAGCCUCGGAAACGCGUCCUCCUACAUGCAGAAUGUCUAGCACGGCGUUCAUGCUUUCUCGGGACAGACAAAAAUUCUUAGGGGGCUUAAUUUGGUCCAUCUUCACCUGGGAAGCUGUAAAAAUCCAAAAACCAACACAAAAUCAGGUAGCCAGUCACACAAAUCUAAAGUAGAGCAGCGCUACUGAGAAGAGUCAAGUACCCGCGUCUUUGAUAUCAUGGAGAUUAGAAAUAAACAUACACUUCUCGACAUCAUACUUCAUUUCGACAGAAGUCAGUCGAAUGUACCCGACCUGCUCGGUGAGGCUUAGCUGGGGUAGGUCAUUGCAGUCCAGUGGAACAUCCUCCCAUGAGAGCUCUAAGUCCCAGACAAGUCUGGACUCCCUCUUGAGCUCCACUAUUGCAAAGCCCUCCAUCCAGCCCUUUAUUGAGUCUUUGUGACCCGUGAAAAUUGAAAGCUUCCCACGAGGGGAAAAAUAAUAAAAAUUUUGGAUUCCCCUGACCAAUCGAAAGAAGGACACAAACAAAGACACCGUGGGUGCAAAUCCCCAACUCAGACACACAGAUUCAAAAGAGGACAUGAACAAGAUGGAAUUGGGGACCAACAUCCGAGGGGUUAUACGAAAGUGUCGGAAAACCUGGGUAAAGAAAGGCGAAAAAGGAAAGGUUAAACCAUACUCCCUCUGUUUAGCGAAGAAUACCAAGUUAAGACCCUCCUGAGAAUCAAUUAAACCAGAGGGAGGAGGAUCAGGAAGAACGAUCCUUUCAUACGGGAGGGGAGCUCGAAUGCGAAAAAGGGGAGUAUCUAAAUACUCCCGAGAGAAAAAGUUUUUUAAGGAAGAUGGGGUAACGUUAGACUUGAUCCGGAGAACAUCGGGAAUUUUAGGGCUAUCCAUGGGGAGUGAAGAAGAGAAGCAUACCUUAACAAUGGCCGAAGCUAUGAGACGAAGUAGGCAAGUGGAGUAAGGAAUCAAAGAUGGCAAAUGCUCCAAGAAGGCAGAAAGAGUUCAAAAUUCGAAACGGUAACAAGACAGAAGAGCGUCCAAGCGUCUUAGAAGAAACUGUCCUUGGGCGGCGCGGUCAUGAUGGUCCUCGAUAUUUACUCCCUCGACAGUCAUAUAAUAACUGCCGAGAGGGUAAAGGGGCAAUUGAUGACCGCGAGAUUUCUUCGUCCGAAUCAGAGACGAGGCCCACGAUAUCGGCCCAUUACUCAGACAUCUUCGAGCCCUUAGUAUGAAUAAGGUCUGGUUCAUUCAAAUAGUAAGGUCGGGCUCCCUCCUGACGCGCCUCAACCGGGAUGGCCCAUUCUCCAGUUCCGUAGGGGAGCCCCUCUUCAGCCCAAUCUUGUUCUCUUCACCCGGCCCAGCCUGGUCGGCCCAACCAGGAACCCAGAGUAAGACCCAUCCGUUCAUCUUGCAGACCCGCCCAUCCGUGCCCAGGGAGAAUCAGAGGCCGUUAUGCAUGGGGCAGAGAUUUGAUUCCCACGUACGUCCGAAUCAGCGUGGCAAGGACAGAUGGUCUACUGGUACUCGUUCUUUUGGCACGUCACUGGCAGACAAAAAUAAACCUAUAAAAGGAGGAAUACUCUCUUCUAGGUUUAAGUUGGGAAGUUUUACAGAGCCCAUUGUAAAAAAAACCCUAUUUCUCUGGAUCUCAGAUCAUCAAAUAUGAUAAAUAUUUAUAACUUGUCAUUACAUAUACAUAGUAGGUGACGAAUUUAAUAUUUUAUCACUAAUAGUGUUUACGUUCCCACAUUGUAUAUUAUCAUAAAAUAAAAAUACUUUGUCACAAUAUAAUUUAUACUAUAAAAAAUUGAUAAAAAUUUAUCUUAAAAAUAUUUUUAUAACAAUUAUUAUAACUUUUUUGAAAUAAUUUUUUUGUGACAAUACCAUAUACAUCAUAUUAAAUUUUUCUUUUAUUACAAUUUUUUUUCAUAAUAACUUAAAUUCCUUUUUAACAAAUAAUUUGGCGUUAAAAUUUUAGACAGAAAUAUAAUAUCAAACAUAUAAUAUGACAAAUAUUUAUAGUUUAUCAUCAAAUGUACAUAGUAGAUAAUGAAUCUAACAUUUUAUUACUAAUAGUGUUUCUGUUGCCAUGUUAUAUAUUAUCAUAAAAAUAAAAAUAUUUUGUCACCGUACAAUUUCUACUAUAAAAGAUUGAUAGAAAUCUAUCUUCAGAUUUUUGUAUGACAAUUAUUAUAAUUCAUGCUGAAAUAAUUUUUUUCGUGAUAAUAUCAUAUAUGUCACAAUAAAUUUUUAUUUUAUUAUAGUUUUUUUCGUAAUAAAAUAAAUUUUUUAUCAACACAUAAUUUGGUGCUAAAAUUUUAAAGGGAAAUAUAACAUCAAGCGUACAAUGUAAUAAAAAUUUAUAACUUAGUCAUCA